ACACUGACGACAUGGUUCUACAAUCAACUCUCGAUGGUAGGAUAGAGGCCUACCAUGGUGGUGACGGGUGACGGAGAAUUAGGGUUCGAUUCCGGAGAGGGAGCCUGAGAAACGGCUACCACAUCCAAGGACGGCAGCAGGCGCGCAAAUUACCCAAUCCCGACACGGGGAGGUAGUGACAAUAAAUAACAAUACGGGGUUCUUUCGGAUCCCGUAAUUGGAAUGAGUACAAUUUAAAUCUCUUAACGAGGAACAAUUGGAGGGCAAGUCUGGUGCCAGCAGCCGCGGUAAUUCCAGCUCCAAUAGCGUAUAUUAAAGUUGUUGCAGUUAAAAAGCUCGUAGUUGAAUUUCGGGGUUAGUAGGUUGGUCAUGCCUCUGGUAUGUACUGAUCUCACUGAUUCCUCCUUCCUUAUGAACCGUAAUGCCAUUAAUUUGGUGUUGCGGGGAAUUUGGACUGUUACUUUGAAAAAAUUAGAGUGUUUAAAGCAGGCUAACGCUUGAAUACAUUAGCAUGGAAUAAUGAAAUAGGACGUUCGAUCUUAUUUUGUUGGUUUCUAGGAUUGACGUAAUGAUUAAUAGGGAUAGUUGGGGGCAUUAGUAUUCAAUUGUCAGAGGUGAAAUUCUUGGAUUUAUUGAAGACUAACUACUGCGAAAGCAUUUGCCAAGGAUGUUUUCAUUAAUCAGUGAACGAAAGUUAGGGGAUCGAAGACGAUCAGAUACCGUCGUAGUCUUAACCAUAAACGAUGCCGACCAGGGAUCGACGGAUGUUGCUUUUUGGUCUCUGUCAACACCUUAUUGGAAACCAAAGUGUUUGGGUUCAGACCA
rnacentral:rRNA from 1 species